GGAACAAGGGAGCUAUUACUGGAGGACUAAGAAAGGAAGGAAAAGGGAAAGCAAACGGAAAGCUGCCAAACUCAUAAGGCGUUUCAAACAUUUCAACUGCAUAUCCCGGAGGACCUUGCCGAUCAGGUGAAAGGGUGGGAAGGCAUAGAAAAGCUGGCCUGACCACUGCAGGAGGGAGGCAUCUGAGAUCACCCCCUUCCCGAUUCCUUCCCUGGAGCAGAACUGGAGACAGCACCGGUUCUGGUCAGUUGCAAAGAGGUCGACCCGGGGAACUCCCCACUCUUGGAAGAGCUGGUGAGUGACCUCCGAGUGGAGUGACCACUUGUACUGGUGGGAGAAAACCCUGCUGAGGCAACCGGCUCGCACAUUGCGGACACCGGGCUGAGAUCUGCACAUGUGGACAGGAGCAGUUCCACAUGGGCCUGCAUCUGGGACCAAGAGCUGCCCUUGAGAAGCCAAUCGUCCAGGGUAGGUCCUGCAUAAGGGACUGGGCCUCCACUGACAGCCCUGAGAGGAGGAGCCAAGAUGCCACGCGCAUGGAAAUGGCGGAAGCCAUCGAGCAGGCUUCCAUAUCGGCCGCAUCCAACGCCACCUGGAGGGUCGCUUUUGCCGCUGCCGCCCCUUCCUCUA